rnacentral:rRNA from 1 species
UACGUAGGGUGCAAGCGUUGUCCGGAAUUAUUGGGCGUAAAGAGCUCGUAGGCGGUUUGUUGCGUCGGCUGUGAAAUCCCGAGGCUCAACCUCGGGUCUGCAGUCGAUACGAGCAAACUAGAGUGUUGCAGGGGAGACUGGAAUUCCUGGUGUAGCGGUGAAAGUGCGCAGAUAUCAGGAGGAACACCGAUGGCGAAGGCAGGUCUCUGGGCCGAAACUGACGCUGAGGAGCGAAAGCGUGGGGAGCAAACAGG